rnacentral:lncRNA from 1 species
GCUACUGCAAGCUGUGUGGCUCCGAGGGACACACACCUCCUCUAAGCCUUGGUUUCCUCACAGGCAAGAAGGAGUUGAUAGUAAUAUCUGGGCAGAGGAGACAGCCCAGGGGAUAAAUUGCUUGCUGUGUGUGAUGGUUUGAAUAUGCUUGUCCCAGGGAGUGGCACUAUUAGGAAGUAUGGCCUGGUUGGAGGAAGCGUGUGUCUGUGGGAUGGGCUUUGAGAGCCUCCUCCUAGCUGCCCAUGAGCCAGUCUUCUUCUAGCAGACUUCAGAUGAAGAUGUAGAACUCUCAGCUCCUCCUACACCAUGCCUGCCUGGAUACUGCCAUGCUCCUGCCUUGAUGAUAAUGGACUGAACCUCUGAACCUAUGAGGAGAUGAGACUCCCAGGAGGAUGAGGGCCACCCACAGGGCUAUGGAAGAGGCUCAAGACUGAUGAGGAAGGAAGAAAAUCAGCUGGAUCCUCAAGACACAAACAGACUAACAGACUCUUUCAUUGCAACCUUUAGGGCGGAGGAAAUUUGACAUAGGAUGCAGGGGCAUCAUACGAUCGACUAUGAGCAAUGUGCCCACCGCGUGAGCCUCUCAGGACACAGGAAGUAAACCAACAGUCUCACUUUCCAGUGUCUCACCUCGGCUUCUCUUCUGUUCUCUUUAAUUUGUCUUCAGAGCACUGAGCAGUGGUCGUCCUUGGUCCCAGACAAUACUGUCUCUAAGAGAAGACCAACACAGUUAGAGACAGGACGGCCCAAAGGAGAAUCAGAUCCGUCCAGUUUAGGCCAUGUAUCUAGUUAUGGACCCGUCAGCUUUGACAAAGGAGCUAGGGUCUUGUAGCGUGCUUGUUCUUAUAGAAGGUGCAGGUCAGAGGGCCUGGCUGCCCACGUCCUCCUUGGAGACUCAGAAAGAAAUAAGAAUUUCAAGAGAUAGUAGUGAAGUGGUUUACAGAAAAGAAUUUCCGAAUUUUCCUUUUCUUUUCCUCAGUCCUUAUUGCAUUAACCUUGUGAUUGUCAACAUACUUGUGUGUUGCUGAAUAUUUUAAGAAAAAUCAACAAAUGUUACCUUGAAACAAUAACAAAGCCCAGAAAAAUGCAAAACAGCCUUGGUCUGUCCCAGCGUCUUUCAUCUGAGAGCACAGAGAGCCAGCGCUAGCCUGGGGAGGGGGUGUGUGGCUAGAAUGUGUGUGUGCUCAGGGCUUUCAUUAAAAACACAUUUUAUUUACUUUAUUUUGCGUGCGUGCAUAUUUAGGGGAGGGCAUGUGCAUGCCUGAUGCACAUAUGGAAGCCACUGGGCAAUUUUCAGGAGAGAGCUCUCUCCUUUCCAUUGUGUGGGCCCCAGGAAUCAAGCUCAGGUGCUCAGGCUUGGUGUAGGGGGCUUUACCCACAGAGCUAUCUCACUGGCCCUAGUGUUUCCUAACACUUCUAAGUUACAUAUUCAAAGUAUCUGUGAAUGUAGCCUUAUAGGGAAAUAAAACCUUUGUAGAUGAGAUGAAAUGCAGUGGCGGGAAGGGUGGUGAGGCAAAUCAUAGCCAUGAAGCGUUCCUGUAAGACAGGGCUCCAUAGCCUUAGCCAGGGCUCUCAGCCAUCUUGACAUUUUGAGCUGGAUCGUUCUGUGUCAUGGAAGUCUGUCCUGUGCCACAAUGCC